rnacentral:SRP_RNA from 1 species
GCCGGGCGUGGUGGUGGGCACCUGUAAUCCCAGCUACUCAGGAGGCUGAGGCAGGAGAAUUGCUUGAACCCGGGAGGCCGAGGCUGCAGUGAGCCGAGAUCGCGCCACUGCACUCCAGCCUGGGCAACAGAGCAAGACUCUGUCUUAA